rfam:Oryza glumipatula chromosome 4, whole genome shotgun sequence.
AAUAAGUGCAGUUUUAGCAUUAUUCAUGUUCAACGUUUGGCCGUUCGUCUUAUUUGAAAAUUUUCUAUGAUCACUACUUUUAUUGUUAUUAGAUGAUAAAACAUGAAUAUUACUUUAUGUGUGACUAAUUUUUUUAAUAUUUUUUAUAAAAUUUUCAAAUAAGACGGAUGGUUAAAACGAUGAACACAAAUAUCUAUAGUUGCACUUAUU